rnacentral:rRNA from 1 species
GAUGAACGCUGGCGGCGUGCCUAAUACAUGCAAGUCGAGCGAACGGACGAGAAGCUUGCUUCUCUGAUGUUAGCGGCGGACGGGUGAGUAACACGUGGAUAACCUACCUAUAAGACUGGGAUAACUUCGGGAAACCGGAGCUAAUACCGGAUAAUAUUUUGAACCGCAUGGUUCAAAGUUGAAAGACGUCCUUGCUUCCACUUAUGGAUGGAUCCGCGCUGCAUUAGCUAGUUGGUAAGGUAACGGCUUACCAAGGCAACGAUGCAUAGCCGACCUGAGAGGGUGAUCGGCCACACUGGAACUGAGACACGGUCCAGACUCCUACGGGAGGCAGCAGUAGGGAAUCUUCCGCAAUGGGCGAAAGCCUGACGGAGCAACGCCGCGUGAGUGAUGAAGGUCUUCGGAUCGUAAAACUCUGUUAUUAGGGAAGAACAUAUGUGUAAGUAACUGUGCACAUCUUGACGGUACCUACUCAGAAAGCCACGGCUAACUACGUG